rnacentral:rRNA from 1 species
GACAGAGGGUGCAAGCGUUAUCCGGAUUCACUGGGUUUAAAGGGUGCGUAGGAGGGCAGGUAAGUCAGUGGUGAAAUCUUCGAGCUUAACUCGGAAACUGCCGUUGAUACUAUCUGUCUUGAAUACCGUGGAGAUGAGCGGAAUAUGUCAUGUAGCGGUGAAAUGCUUAGAUAUGACAUAGAACACCAAUUGCGAAGGCAGCUCGUUACACGAAUAUUGACUCUGAGGCACGAAAGCGUGGGGAUCAAACAGG